AGGGAGUGUGUAACAACUCACCUGCCGAAGCAACCAGCCCUGAAAAUGGAUGGCGCUAUAGCAUCGUGCCUAUACCGGGCCGUCAACGGCAAAGCGGGCCGCUGCCCGGUCGGCCUCGGCCGGCCGGCUCGGCCGUUAAGCCUUGACGAGUAGGAGGCGCGCGGCGGUGUGCGCAGAAGGGUCUGGGCGCGAGCCUGCCUGGAGCCGCCGUCGGUGCAGAUCUUGGUGGUAGUAGCAAAUACUCUAGCGAGGGCCUGGAGGACUGAAGUGGAGAAGGGUUUCUUGUGAACAGCCGUUGCACAAGAGUCAGUCGACCCUAAGCCCUAGGAGAAAUCCGAUGUCGAUGGGCAGCGAUCGUUCUAGGCCCAGGUCUCUCUCGCGAGAGACACGGCGGCCGUGCCGACUGCUCCCGUCGGGCGAAAGGGAAUCCGGUUCCUAUUCCGGAACCCGGCAGCGGAACCGCCUACUUCGCGGGCACUCGCCUGCGAGCGCUCGUCGGGGUAACCCAAAAUGACCCGGAGACGCCGGCGGGAGGUCCGGAAAGAGUUGUCUUUUCUUUAUAAGCGUUCGAGUUCCCUGGAAUCCUAUUGCAGGGAGAUAGGGUUUGGAACGCGAAGAGCACCGCAGUUGCAGCGGUGUCCGGGCCGUCCCCCCGGACCAUGAAAAUCCGGGUGAGGGCUACGUGGUAAUUUCGCGCCGGCUCGUACCCAUAUCCGCAGCAGGUCUCCAAGGUGAAGAGCCUCUAGUCGA
rnacentral:rRNA from 1 species